AGUGAACGCUGGCGGCAGGCCUAACACAUGCCAGUCGAACGGCAGCACAGUAAGAGCUUGCUCUUACGGGUGGCGAGUGGCGGACGGGUGAGGAAUACAUCGGAAUCUACUUUUUCGUGGGGGAUAACGUAGGGAAACGUAUGCUAAUACAGCAUAUAACCUACGGGUGAAAGCAGGGGAUCUUCGGACCUUUCGCGAUUGAAUGAGCCGAUGUCGGAUUAGCUAGUUGGCGGGGUAAAGGCCCACCUAGGCGACGAUCCGUAGCUGGUCUGAGAGGAUGAUCAGCCACACUGGAACUGAGACACGGUCCAGACUCCUACGGGAGGCAGCAGUGGGGAAUAUUAGGCAAUGGGCGAAAGCCUGAUCCAGCAAUACCGCGUGAGUGAUGAAGGCCUUAGGGUUGUAAAGCCCUGUUGUUGGGAAAGAAAAAAAGCAGGUUUAUACCCCGCUGUUCUGACGGUACCCAAAGAAUAAGCACCGGCUAACUUCGUG
rnacentral:rRNA from 1 species